AGAAAGGCUUCAUUCAACGUCCUUGCAAGACCCAUGCAAUUUCAGUAGAGGGCUAAGACUGAGAUACCUUACAGGUCCCCUCUGGGGUGUGCAAAAUUGACAAAACUUAAGCUACUGAUGAGCAAACUAGGCCAGAUGAAUUUGGCCUCUUCACAUAAUAGUGUAUGGAGUUACAGUGCUUUGGUAUGUUUUAAUAGGUGCUAAUUUUGAAAUAAAUCAACAUGCACUCCAAACGACUGUGAAUCAUUACUUCAGGAGAGUGUGACUGCUUCGACCCGCCGGCGAAAGGGUUCGUGUUCAAUCACACUUUCCAGCGAGACGGAAAUUAGAGUGCUCUCUUCGAGCUCCGCGGCACACACAAACACAUGUGCCUGCGCACACACACGUGGGCUCGGGCCUCACCCUCGUGCACACACUUUCCGCAGAUGGACCCACACAAAUCUGUGUCUGCUGCAUCACAUCUGUUUUUCUUUUUUUUUUUUCCUUCCUUUUUCCCUGAAUAACCAGAAGCCGCUGCCUGCUUACUGUAGCUGGCUGACUGGACGCUUCAGGGCAAGUUUGACACGAAUCCUGUCUGAUGCCUGUUUUUGCACUCCGAUAAUUCAAUUAGGGGGAUGGCCCUUGCUCUGCUGCACACGCCGACCUGAAGCCGAGCCAGAACCCCGGGCCACUGGGUUAUAGUGAGAGGGGGGAUACAUUACACGGUGUUACCUGCACUUGCUGACAAGGAGAGACAAGGCAUGACCUGUGGAGCAUUUUAGCCAGCUCAGUGGCAAUAUGACCAGGCCAACUCCACAGGAUGGCUGCCCACACGCAGAACACAGAGCAGAGCAUAUGCCAACCAAAAAAAAAGAGAGUGAGAGAAGGAGAGUUGAGUUCUAGUUGUUCCUGUUUUAUGUCUAGAUGUGUUUUGUUCCGGAUUUCUAGAAAGAGGUGGACUCUGAUGGUACUAAUGCAUUGGGCAGCAAGUGUUUUUCUCUUCAUAUUAUUUGCCAGGAGGAUGCAGUCUUGCCAUAAUGUUCUCCAACUGGUAGCAGCAUUAACAGAAUGAAUGAGCGUUUGG